CCUACGGGCGGCAGCAGUGAGGAAUAUUGGUCAAUGGGCUUACGCCUGAACCAGCCAUGCCGCGUGCAGGAAGACGGCUCUAUGAGUUGUAAACUGCUUUUGUACGAGGGUAAACGCAGAUACGCGUAUCUGUCUGAAAGUAUCGUACGAAUAAGGAUCGGCUAACUCCGUGCCAGCAGCCGCGGUAAUACGGAGGAUUCAAGCGUUAUCCGGAUUUAUUGGGUUUAAAGGGUGCGUAGGCGGUCGGAUAAGUUAGAGGUGAAAUCCCGAGGCUCAACUUCGGAAUUGCUGCUGAUACUGUUCGGCUAGAGAGUAGUUGCGGUAGGCGGAAUGUAUGGUGUAGCGGUGAAAUGCUUAGAGAUCAUACAGAACUCCGAUUGCGAAGGCAGCAUACCGGCGCCCGACUGACGCUGAGGCACGAAAGCGUGGGGAUCGAACAGGAUUAGAUACCCCAGUAGUC
rnacentral:rRNA from 1 species